GAUGAACGCUGGCGGCGUGCUUAACACAUGCAAGUCGAACGAAGCACUUUAUUUGAUUUCCUUCGGGACUGAUUAUUCUGUGACUGAGUGGCGGACGGGUGAGUAACGCGUGGGUAACCUGCCUUGUACAGGGGGAUAACAGUUGGAAACGGCUGCUAAUACCGCAUAAGCGCACGGCAUCGCAUGAUGCAGUGUGAAAAACUCCGGUGGUAUAAGAUGGACCCGCGUUGGAUUAGCUAGUUGGUGAGGUAACGGCCCACCAAGGCGACGAUCCAUAGCCGACCUGAGAGGGUGACCGGCCACAUUGGGACUGAGACACGGCCCAAACUCCUACGGGAGGCAGCAGUGGGGAAUAUUGCACAAUGGGCGAAAGCCUGAUGCAGCGACGCCGCGUGAGCGAAGAAGUAUUUCGGUAUGUAAAGCUCUAUCAGCAGGGAAGAUAAUGACGGUACCUGACUAAGAAGCACCGGCUAAAUACGUG
rnacentral:rRNA from 1 species